rnacentral:misc_RNA from 1 species
GUGAAUCAUCGAAUCUUUGAACGCACCUUGCGCCCCUUGGUAUUCCGAGGGGUACACCUGUUUGAGUGUCGUGAAUUCCUCCACUUGGCCGUCUUCUUUUGGAAGGCGUUGCUUGAGCUGGGAUUUGGGGGUUUCUUGCGGGUCCUCUGGAUCCGCUCCCCUUGAAUGCAUUAGUUGAGGCUCUAAGCGUUUUGUGCCUUGGUGUGAUAAGUUUAUCUACGCCUCUGCCCUUCGCUCGCCGCGAGGCGAAGCCUUGCUUCUAACCGUCCUUCACACGGACAAUCUUCUUUUUAACUUGAC